UUCUAUCCACUGGUUCACUCUUCAGCUGGCUGGAGCUGGGCCAGGCUGAAGUCAGGAGCCAGGAGCUCCAUCUGGAUCUCCCACAUGGAUACUGGGCCCAAACACUCGGGCCAUUUUCCCACUGCUUUCUCAGGUAUGUUAGCGGGUGGCUGGGACUUGAACCAGAGCCCAUAUGAGAUGCCAGAGUUGCAGGCAAUGGCUUAACCCACUACACCACAGCACCUUAGUUCCUCCUAAACCCUAAGGAGACAAAGAUUCUUUAGAAUUAAAGAUACAAUUAUAUAUAUAUAUAUAUAUUAUAACAGGCAGAGUGGACAGUGAGAGAGAGAGACUGAGAGGAAAGGUCUUCCUUUGCCGUUGGUUCACGCUACAAUGGCCGCCGCGGCCGGCGCGCUGCGGCCGGUGCAUCGCACUGAUCCGAAGCCAGGAGCCAGGUGCUUCUCCUGGUCUCCCAUGGGGUGCAGGACCCAAGCACUUGGGCCAUCCUCCACUGCACUUCCCGGCCACAGCAGAGAGCUGGCCUGGAAGAGGGGCAACCGGGACAGAAUACGGCGCCCUGACCGGGACUAUAACCCAGGGUGCCGGCGCUGCAAGGCGGAGGAUUAGCCUAGUGAGCCACGGCGCUGGCCUGACACAAUUAUAUUUUAAAUAAUAGGUUGCAAGGAUGGACAUUAGUCCCACAUUGGAGUGUCUGAGUUCCAUAUCUGUCCCCACUCCUGACUCCAGCUCUGCCGAUGUAGACCCUGGGAAGCAAUGGUCAAGGCUCAGCUGGAGGGGUCCCUGAUGCCUGGAAAACCUAGAUUGUGUUCCAGGCCAUUGUGGGUACUUGGGUAAACCAGCAAUGCCACACUCUUUUUCUCGCAAUUAAAAAUUACCUAUAAGGUAAUAAGAAUGUAUUUUCUGUAAAAAAUGUACAAAAUUUAGAUCAUCAAAAGAAAAGUCAGCUGCCUAAUCUUUAUCUCCUAAAAGCAAGUAACACUAUUUUAACUCGCCUUUUCUAUUUAAUAAGAAAUUGAGAUUAUCAUUAUAUUAAUAUUUCUAGAUUAUUUCCUAUUCCUGUAAUGAUUUGUUGCUUCAAAUCUUUUGUACAUGGAAGAAAGUCUGGAAUUGAUAAAAAAAAAAACAGGGAAAAAAUAAAGCACUAUGAUUUCAUGAUACAAACAUUCCUAUUUAAAUUGGAGGUGAAAAAUGUUUUUCCUUCUCAGCUUUGCAUAAAAUAGUGACAGCCUGCACCUUGUUUAACUCGCUGCAUCUAUAACUUAACAAUAUACUGUGAGCAUUUUUCAGGUUAAAAUAUUCUUUUAUAUCAAAUUUUUAAAUUGAAUGUGUAUUAUAGAUGGGCUAUACUUUUAUUUACCCAACUUCUACCCAUAGACAUUUGACAUUCUCCAAUAUUUUGCCAUUUUGUGAUACUGUAAAUAAAUAUAUUUGUAGCCAAGUCAUUGUACUCACACAGUACUGUUUCCCUGUAUGCAUUCUUUUUUUAAAAGAUUUAUUUUAUUUAUUUGAAAGUCAGAGUUACACAGAGAGGAGAGGCAGAGACAGAUAGUCUUCCAUCCGCUGGUUCACCCCCGAAAUGGCCACAAUGCUUAGAGGUGCACCGAUCCAAAGCCAGGAGCCAGGAGCUUCUUCCGGGUCUCCCACAUGGGUGCAGGGGCCCAAGGACUUGGACUAUCUUCCACUGCUUUCCCAGGGCAUAGCAGAGAGCUGGAUCAGAAGAGGAGUAGCUGGGACUAGAACCGGCACCCAUAUGGGAUGCUGGUGCUACAGGCCAGGGUGUUAACCCACUGCACCACAGUGCCGGCCUCUAGAAGGGGAAUUGAUGAAUCAGAGGAUUCAAAGUAGAAAUUCUUGAUUUUGCAAUUUUGGAGUGGGCAAAGAAGACAAGAGGUGAUCUACACCAGGAAUCAUUGAGAUGGAAAUGACAUUGGAGCCUCUCAAGUGAAGCGCAUGUUUCUCAGGAUCAUCGUCUUGUUCAUGCUCUAGACCACAGUGUCCUGCUAAUAGACCCCCUCCCCCCACCACCUCCCUGCCCCACCAUUGAUGCCCAAAUUCCACCGAGUUCCCAGCCUUACAAGUUGCUUUCUUUUGCCCAACUAUAUUAUGGGUGUGUAUAAACCUCUGUGUCACUUUGUUUUCUUGAGAGAGAGCUUUUUCACACUCUCUGUCUUUCAGUACUUACCUGAGGAGAAAGUCAACACCUCCUUUGUCUGCCAUUGUCUUUGAACCUUACUGUUAGUAGAGCUCUUAGCUUUCUAUACUUUGCUUCUGUUCCAGGCACCUCUUCAGGACAAUGGGGACCAUAUCUUGUAUCCGCUAUUCCCAUCAGAGACUAAGAUUCUACUCUCCACCAUCUUCUUCAGUGUUCAUUAACCGUAGCCCAUGCUAAGAAAUCUAUUUUUGCUUAAUGAUCUAUUAAAUAUUUUCAUAACAUACAUACACAUGUACACACAUGCAAAAACCACAUAUAGUUGAAAUGAAGCUUUGUGGAAUAGAAUUUAACCAUAACAGAACAUCACAUACUCUCACAUUUUCUAUUCUGUUCUAUUAGUCAUCAGAAAAGUUCUGGUCACAGUCUACCAAAUCAAUUUAUGUACUAGUGAGUCAUGAUUCUGUUUGCAAAAAUCUACUUAGCAUAAGCUCAACGAUUAUUUUUGAACUGAAUUGCAAAACAUUGGCUUAUUUUGAAGCAAAUCUCAGACAUUAUGCAAUUUUAUCCAAAAAUACUUCAGUAUUUAUUUCUAAAACAAAAUUUUUAUGUUUUUGCACUCAAACAAUAUAAUUUUUGCAUCUAAAAUAGAGGUUAAUUUAUCGAUAUCAUCAAGUAUGCAGUCAGUGUCCAGUUUCCUCAAUGAUUCUGCAGAUGGUUUUUAAAAAUUGCAUCUGAUUAAUAUUUCUUUCAGAUUUCUUUUAGUCUAUUAGAUAUUCCUCUGGAUUUCUUUCAUCUUCUCCCCAACAUUUUAGGCAUUUUGUAAUUUGGAUUUGCUGUAUUGUUAUUCAAAUUUGCUAUAAGAGACAUGAAAGCAAAUGGGGUGGAUGUAACCUCUGAGAAAUUUUAAGCAUAGAUGCUAAGUAAGUUAGUGGCUUGUGAAGCGUAGGUGGUCCUCACAGGCUGUGUUAAGAAUAAACAAUGAGUGAGGAAGAAUCUCAUGGGAUAUAUAUCUCAUGGGAUGCAGGUAGAAUUCAUAAGAUAUGCUAAAUAGACCAAGUUGGUGCAAGACUAUAAAAAGGAACAAAUGGAAUGUUUGCUGGAACAAACAAGAAUCUUAUUAGGAAAGCGAAGUCAUAGCAAACGAUAGCGUCGUCUCUAACCUGACAGCUUUGUCCUCCUUGAAUCAUUUCUCAGUGGAGGCACCCAGGAUGCUGCCAUCCUGUCCUUGCUUGUGUUCUACACAAGAAAUGCAGAUAAAACCCGUGGUUGCUUGGCAGGCUACUUGGCUAGCUAUGACUGUGGUCAGAUACAUUCACCCAAGUCUCUCUGGUAGACAAAGUAUGUGUCAUCAGUCCUAGGCCUCUUCUAUCUAUGGAUCCCUGUUCAGAUCUCAACUCUGGUUUUUAUGACACCACCACAGAGUGGGAGAGGCCAGCACAGGUGAGAGAGGUGGGGGGAAUGAAGGCUUUCUAACCCAUGAUCAAAUGGUCUUUGCACUCACUUGCUUCCUACCUUAAGAGUGUUGACCAACCCAUCUCUUUCUCCUUGCUUUUCCUCUUUUUCUUCCUCUUUCUUCUUUUAAUUGUGGUAACUCUCCCUACCCCCACUUACUGUUAAAUUUACCAUCUUAGCCAUUUUAAAUGUUCAUUUCAGUGGUUUAAGUAUAUUUACAGUGUUGUGAAACAUCUUCAGAACUUUUUCAUGUUUGGAAAACUGACACUCUGUACACUUUAAGCACUAAUUCUGCCUUCCACUCCCCUGCCCUUGACAACCAGCACUCUGCUUUCUGUUCCUACGAUUUUGACCACUUUAGAUACCUCAUAUAUGUGGACACAUGCAGUAGUCGUCCUUCUGCAUAACAUCCUUGAGGUUCAUCCACAUUCCAAUGUAUGUAUAGAUUGUAUUUUCUUUGUCCAUUCAAUUAUUGAUGGACGUUAGUGAUUAAUACUGCAAUUGAACAUGGAUUACAAAUAUCUCUUUAAGGUUCUACUCUGAAUUCACUGUAUACUCAGAAGUGGAAGUGCUGGAUCAUGCAGUAAAUCUAUUUGUAAUUUUUUGAAGAACACCCAUACCAUUUCCCAUAAUGAUUCUACCCUUUUAGAUUCCAACCAGUGAAGCACAAGGUUCCAGAGCAGAGAGCUGGACUGGAAGAGGAGCAACCGGGACUAGAACCGGUGCCCAUAUGGGAUUCCAGCACCUCACGCAGAGGAGUAACCAAGUAAACUGCGGCACCGGCCCCGUGACUCAUUUUUUUAAAGGCGCUAGUGGUGGACCCUCUCAGUUGCUGAUUUACUUUUCUCCCCACUCCUUCCUGUUUAACAGAAUGCUGAUUUCUUCAGAUAGCCACAACUUUCACAUUCAGUCAGUUGCCUCAAGGGAUACUCACCUCAUCCCUGUACUUCAGUGCCUCUGACUGAUAUUAUAUUUUAAUGGAAUCUUAACUCCUUGGUUUAUUUUCUCCCUCCCAAGGAGGUAUGCCGUAACUCCUUCCUCAUUACCAGUCAACAGUUGCUUCUUUUGACACCUGCAAGAGAAAGGGGAUCAGAGCAGCAGUUUUCAAGUGAAGGAGCAGAAGUGGAAUGGAGGAGCCCAGAACUCACCUUUGAGAUCCUGCUCACGUCCUACCGCUUAGAGGGGGCCUGUGAUAUUGACUUUGCUCAUCUUCCUCCCCGCAUUCUAUUGAUCCAGAUUCUGUGUAACAAAUGGUCUGGUUUCCUAACCACCUUGGAAACGUCAGGAAAGAGAUCCCCAUGUAAACAGACUUUCUCUUGGUGUCUGAUGUAAAGAGUCAUUCUGAGGUGGAAGACAAAGAGCUCGGGAGAAAACCCCACCACAGCAUAAGAGGAACGGAUCAGAGAAGACACCAGUGAGAAAACAUUUGACUGGAGCUUCAGGAAUGAAUAGGAGUUCCUGAGCAAAAAGCACCGUGUCAGCAAUGGCCCAUAUGCAUAAUCGCCCACAUUUUAGUCAUCUUGCAAUUUAAUAGUGUAUUAGUUCUUAUUUAAUUAAUAUAUUUAUUUAAAUAGACUUAAGCAUUUUGCCUUAUCUUAAUUAAUACUAUGAAGCAUAGGUUCAACAUGUUAAAUUUUAUCUACAUAUAAGGAAAUGAACAUGCUAUCGAUUGUCUAUUCAAUGUCUAUUUUUCCACUUCUGUUUUUUCUAACAGAACCUCAAAUGGGUGAUGGCUGCCUGCAUGCCAUCACCUGCUUCAACGAAAGCUGAUUCCACUCCCAGCUCAACAACUAGAACCUAAUGCUGCCCAUCCGUCAUCGCGGGCAGAGAGUAUCCAUCAUGGGCCGAGCGGGAUCGUUUCCACAGCUGUCAGGGAGUGGACACAGCAAAGGUGCCCGUGGUGGCUGGACAGAGUUGUCCAGGCCUGAUGGUGAGGGAGCUUCCAGGGGACGGAGGGCAUCCGGGGGUCUGUCUCCAAUGGCUUCAUGCAGUCCCCGAGUGAGACCUCUGUUCUCCCCAUCGAUAUCACAGCCAGAUCAGUCAGCAAGAGCGAUGAAGAUCGGUGAGGUUUUGGAGCAGUGCCGUGACUUGCAGUAGCGGUGUCGGGAUUUGAACCCAGGUUCAUUUGAUCCCCAGACCAGCACUAUACUGAUUUCCAAAGCAAGAAGUAAUCCAUAAGCUUAACUGGGCUGGGAUAGACCCCUGUGGCCAAUCUUCUGUGAAUAAAAUUGCCUGCCUCUCCUAGGAGUGAGUCAGUCUUUCCAUCUGCAGACUUCGAGUGGAAGUGCGGCUGGCGUGGGGUCAGGAACAUCGGAACCAGAGUCGAAAGAGAAGGAGGUGGAUUCUUCUUCCUCCUCGUGAUUAACACGCUUUCUCGGUCUUUCCUGGCCAACACUUAAUGCCACACGGCCUUUAUCCGUAGAUUGACAGAUAGACUUGAGGAUGCCUGCUGUUUAAAAAAGAGACCCUUGCCAUUGAAGCACCUAGAAGACCACAGCAAAGGUGAAAGGAAAAUGAAACGACAUGAAAGCCUCUGGACUCAGAAAGUGUGGAGGGCUGGACGGCAGCUACUGUGGUCUGAACCGUGCUUCUGGAAGGUUAAUAUGUUGAGGUGCUUCCCUCUCCUGUAGCUGUUUGGAGUUAGGGCCUGUGAGACAUGAUAAAGGUCAAGUGAGGUCAUGAGGGUGGGCCCUAGACGGAUAGGGUUUAUGCCUUGAUAAGAAGAGACCCUAGAGUUCUCUUUUUUCUACUGUGUGAGGACAGCGCAAGAAGAUGGCCAUCAGCAAAGUAGGAAGAGAGUCCACCCAGAGGCUGACUCUUGCUGGGACCUUAAUCUUUGAUUUUCCAGCCUCCAGAAAAUGCAUAUCUAUUGCUUAAGCAGCACAAUCUGUGGUAUUUUAUGGAAACCUGAGCAGGCUGGGAUGGUUGCCCCAAAGAUACUGGAUCCUAACACUUGGAAUCUGUAAACCUUAUCUUAUUUGAGGGAGGGG